GAGUUUGAUCCUGGCUCAGGAUGAACGCUGGCGGCGUGCCUAAUACAUGCAAGUCGAGCGAACGGACGAGAAGCUUGCUUCUCUGAUGUUAGCGGCGGACGGGUGAGUAACACGUGGAUAACCUACCUAUAAGACUGGGAUAACUUCGGGAAACCGGAGCUAAUACCGGAUAAUAUUUUGAACCGCAUGGUUCAAAAGUGAAAGACGGUCUUGCUGUCACUUAUAGAUGGAUCCGCGCUGCAUUAGCUAGUUGGUAAGGUAACGGCUUACCAAGGCAACGAUGCAUAGCCGACCUGAGAGGGUGAUCGGCCACACUGGAACUGAGACACGGUCCAGACUCCUACGGGAGGCAGCAGUAGGGAAUCUUCCGCAAUGGGCGAAAGCCUGACGGAGCAACGCCGCGUGAGUGAUGAAGGUCUUCGGAUCGUAAAACUCUGUUAUUAGGGAAGAACAUAUGUGUAAGUAACUGUGCACAUCUUGACGGUACCUAAUCAGAAAGCCACGGCUAACUACGUGCCAGCAGCCGCGGUAAUACGUAGGUGGCAAGCGUUAUCCGGAAUUAUUGGGCGUAAAGCGCGCGUAGGCGGUUUUUUAAGUCUGAUGUGAAAGCCCACGGCUCAACCGUGGAGGGUCAUUGGAAACUGGAAAACUUGAGUGCAGAAGAGGAAAGUGGAAUUCCAUGUGUAGCGGUGAAAUGCGCAGAGAUAUGGAGGAACACCAGUGGCGAAGGCGACUUUCUGGUCUGUAACUGACGCUGAUGUGCGAAAGCGUGGGGAUCAAACAGGAUUAGAUACCCUGGUAGUCCACGCCGUAAACGAUGAGUGCUAAGUGUUAGGGGGUUUCCGCCCCUUAGUGCUGCAGCUAACGCAUUAAGCACUCCGCCUGGGGAGUACGACCGCAAGGUUGAAACUCAAAGGAAUUGACGGGGACCCGCACAAGCGGUGGAGCAUGUGGUUUAAUUCGAAGCAACGCGAAGAACCUUACCAAAUCUUGACAUCCUUUGACAACUCUAGAGAUAGAGCUUUCCCCUUCGGGGGACAAAGUGACAGGUGGUGCAUGGUUGUCGUCAGCUCGUGUCGUGAGAUGUUGGGUUAAGUCCCGCAACGAGCGCAACCCUUAAGCUUAGUUGCCAUCAUUAAGUUGGGCACUCUAAGUUGACUGCCGGUGACAAACCGGAGGAAGGUGGGGAUGACGUCAAAUCAUCAUGCCCCUUAUGAUUUGGGCUACACACGUGCUACAAUGGACAAUACAAAGGGCAGCGAAACCGCGAGGUCAAGCAAAUCCCAUAAAGUUGUUCUCAGUUCGGAUUGUAGUCUGCAACUCGACUACAUGAAGCUGGAAUCGCUAGUAAUCGUAGAUCAGCAUGCUACGGUGAAUACGUUCCCGGGUCUUGUACACACCGCCCGUCACACCACGAGAGUUUGUAACACCCGAAGCCGGUGGAGUAACCUUUUAGGAGCUAGCCGUCGAAGGUGGGACAAAUGAUUGGGGUGAAGUCGUAACAAGGUAGCCGUAUCGGAAGGUGCGGCUGGAUCACC
rnacentral:rRNA from 4 species